GAGCACGAAGGUUGGCUAAUCCUGGUCGGACAUCAGGAGGUUAGUGCAAUGGCAUAAGCCAGCUUGACUGCGAGCGUGACGGCGCGAGCAGGUGCGAAAGCAGGUCAUAGUGAUCCGGUGGUUCUGAAUGGAAGGGCCAUCGCUCAACGGAUAAAAGGUACUCCGGGGAUAACAGGCUGAUACCGCCCAAGAGUUCAUAUCGACGGCGGUGUUUGGCACCUCGAUGUCGGCUCAUCACAUCCUGGGGCUGAAGUAGGUCCCAAGGGUAUGGCUGUUCGCCAUUUAAAGUGGUACGCGAGCUGGGUUUAGAACGUCGUGAGACAGUUCGGUCCCUAUCUGCCGUGGGCGCUGGAGAACUGAGGGGGGCUGCUCCUAGUACGAGAGGACCGGAGUGGACGCAUCACUGGUGUUCGGGUUGUCAUGCCAAUGGCACUGCCCGGUAGCUAAAUGCGGAAGAGAUAAGUGCUGAAAGCAUCUAAGCACGAAACUUGCCCCGAGAUGAGUUCUCCCUGACUCCUUGAGAGUCCUGAAGGAACGUUGAAGACGACGACGUUGAUAGGCCGGGUGUGUAAGCGCAGCGAUGCGUUGAGCUAACCGGUACUAAUGAACCGUGAGGCUUAACCUU
rnacentral:rRNA from 1 species